rnacentral:rRNA from 1 species
AACCGGACUUCACUCCCAACCCCUGUGAACAUCCCAAUUGUCGCCUCGGCGGAUCAGCCCGCUCCCGGUAAAACGGGACGGCCCGCCAGAGGACCCCUAAACUCUGUUUCUAUAUGUAACUUCUGAGUAAAACCAUAAAUAAAUCAAAACUUUCAACAACGGAUCUCUUGGUUCUGGCAUCGAUGAAGAACGCAGCAAAAUGCGAUAAGUAAUGUGAAUUGCAGAAUUCAGUGAAUCAUCGAAUCUUUGAACGCCCAUUGCGCCCGCCAGUAUUCUGGCGGCCAUGCCUGUUCGAGCGUCAUUUCAACCCUCAAGCCCCCGGGUUUGGUGUUGGGGAUCGGCGAGCCCUUGCGGCAAGCCGGCCCCGAAAUCUAGUGGCGGUCUCGCUGCAGCUUCCAUUGCGUAGUAGUAAAACCCUCGCAACUGGUACGCGGCGCGGCCAAGCCGUUAAACCCCCAACUUCUGAAUGUUGACCUCGGAUCAGGUAGGAAUACCCCGCUGAACUUAAGCAUAUCAAUAAGGCGGAGGG